CUGUGCCCGGAGCCGAGGGACCUUCCCGUCCCCGUCUCGCCUUGGCACCGAGCGGAGAUUCCGGAGUGCCGUGGGCAGAGCAGCUCCUCUCCGCCGUUGUCUGUGCGCUCUGGUGUGGGGCGGCGGGCUGGGGCACCUCAGUACCGGGGGGAGGCCGCGGCGGUGCCCAGGGAAGAGCAGUUUGUGCUAUGGCCGCAGCACAGCACUGAUAGCGCGUCCCGGAACGGCCGCUGCCCAGCUCCCUGAUCUCAGUAGUGAUUUUUUUCCGGACCUCAACAAUUUAAACUAAAAUGUUCAUCGCAGACAAAGUCCUCGCGCCAGAGUAAAUGGUUACGGACUGGUCCUCCCUUGCAAUACCACGGCUUGUGGGAGCUUCUGUGGCUGCAGUUGCAGGAGGGGAAGGACGUUUUCUCAGAAGAUUGAGACAAGCUAAACCUGCAGCUGCUGAUGUUCCUGAGAGUUUCUGGUUGCAAGAGCUACUCAUGGACUGCGUGUCAGCCAGCACUGAAUACCACACUUGGAGGUACACCUGAGUGAGCCUCAGGCUCAUAGCCCAGGUAUCAAUAUCGCUAUGGCCAGGACAGUAGGUCUGGUGCCUCAGCUGGCAAGGUUCAGUGACCCAGAAGGGCCAUUCCCCACUUGUGUAUGAGCUGCAGCUAUGUUAACAAUACCUUUACUACAUACACUCCCCUCUGACUGCAAUGCCUCAAGCCUCAGGACUUUUACUUUUCCAGUAAGAGAUGUGGUUUUCCCAUCUCUGGGCAGGCCCUAGCUCCAACACACUGUGAUUAUCUGAUGGUUCCUGCCAGCAAUUCUCCUUCAGAAAUUUAUGCUACAGGCAUUAAAAAUUAAAAGCGGAUGGCUUUCUGAAGAGCAGUGGCUUAUUGGUAGUAAUACUUGUAGAGGCAUGUAGAGGAAAACUUUGUAAAAUAGUGCAUGCAUGUCUACCAAAGUAGUCACCAACUCAGAUCUGACUUCUUCAAACACCCAGUGUGGCCUACAGCCACCAGUCCCUGACUCUAAUCCAUCAGCACUCCUGAAACAGGUCUAAGAUUCCUGUCUCCUCUAUUCCUGGGCUUUUUAUUCCUGCAGUUCUAAAUCUACUUGCUGGACUCAGCAAGAGGCAGACCCACUUUAUGUAGAAGCAAAGCAGGCAUGCCUUUGGUAGUCUGUAGUUUAGUCUAACCUAUGAGGGGUGAAAUAUCUCGAUAUUUAACCCAGGAUGGUCUCACAGGGCAGAAUUCAUCUCAGAUACCCGCCAUGUUUACAAUGCCUGUGUCCGCCUUUGAGCAUCAACUUCAGGCUCCUUUUCUAUUCACUGAAGCUCUAGACAUAUUCUUGUACUCGAAACAUCUGUGUUAGAAUAGCAUUAAUCCUAGAAAUGGUAGUCUCAGGAAGUCUGGAUGACUCCAUUAUAUGUGCCUAUCUACAACUGACCCUGUGGAUGCUCCCCACAUGGCAUGGCUCAAUAACUACAUAAAUACAUUGUAUCCAGGCAGGGUUACUGAGUUGCCCUACUUCUGUCAUAUUUUAUGUGUAUUAAUCACAAGCACAGCACACACUCCAGAAGCCCAUAUGACUCUGAGUUUCUGACUUAAAGCUCAUGUUACCUGACACAAGACAAUGAGCAGCCAGGUCAGACUAUUUUUAACCAGAGGACAUUGUAGAUUGCAUAGGUGCACAGGAGUUAGAUCAAAUUUUCAUUUUCCUACCAUAUGCACAGAGGCAUAGUGGAGUUUGCAUAGGUAAUUAUCUUGUGUGAGGAUUUUUCCUUUCAAAAUGAAAUAUAACAGGCUAAUAGAUGAACAGAAACAACUGUGAAUUUGACCAAACAACUUCCAAUCUCGGAUGCCCAAAGCUAGGUUGCUCAAUCAAAUAUUAAAGACAAUAAAGAGUUAUCUGAGCUGGUUGUAAACCCAGAAGCCUUUCUCUUUGCCUGUCUCGAGUCACCACACAGGUGGGGUGCAGAGGCUGGGGUGGAUGUGGCUGUAAACCUAUUGCAUCACAGGAGUUCUUUAAAAUCCUCCUGUAGGGAGAAGCUGGCAUGAGUUGAAGGCAGGUUAUACAAGUGUAUCAUGCAGUUUGGUGUAUUCUUUCAACUGAAGCAAUCUAAUUUUUAAAUUUGACUGCAAAGUAAGAUGAGCCCUUUGUAACACAAUGACAUAUUUUCACUGCCAGUUUCCUCCUCAGCUUCUAGCUGGCACUUUGCCUUGCCUUGCGGGAGAAAACCCCACAAGAUUAUGUAGGAUGUUGUUGAGAGCACUUCAAAAUCAAAGCAGACAAGAUACUGGAAUCCUGUUCUGCAAUGUGGUGGAACUGCUGGGCCACAUUUUUUCUAAUACGCCUGGAGCAUAGAAAUUCUGCAAAUAAUGCAACUCCAGGUCAAUGCUAGCUGAGUCAUGGGGAGAAUUUCAUGGGGAGAAGGGUAAACCCUUAGGUUUGCUGAACAGAGAGGGUUGGAACAAGGGACUGGAAUUCAGAUCCCAGAUUUUCUGUCUGAAAUAUCCUGAACUUAUGGACUUUCCUCACAGAAAGGGACACUGACAACCUGGUUCGACUCUUGACACACCUAGGCCAGUGACUCAUCUAUUUCAAGUCAGGGUCCUGCUGCAGAGCUGAAAUAGGUGGGCUGUACUAGCCCCAGCUCUUGAAGCAAACUGAACAGCACCAGGGCACAGGGACUGUCCACACCAAUAAAUCAUCUAUACUGUCCCUGGCAAAGGUUUGAUUCAUGCUAGUUUUCUGCCCAGUAGGAACCCACACCUGGGGUUUUUUUAGGCUUUGGUUUUCUGUUUGUUGUUUUGGGAUUUUUUGUUUCGUUAUGUUUUUGUUUGUUUGUUUGUUUUUGUUUUGUUUUGGGGUUUUAAUUUUUUUUUAUUUGGUUUAGUUCAGUUUGUUAGUUUUGUUUUGUUCUGUUUUUUGUUUUUGUUUUUUUUUUGGUGGAGAAGAAAGUUUUAGAAAUUAUUUGUAUUAGAAAGAAAAGGGGUCUGAUUUCUGCACAGACCACAUGUAUGCAGACAGCCCCAGGAAAGGAGAGGUUUGCAGUGGUGGCUGCUGCUGUUGUUCCUCAUCCAUUGCUCUGCCACAGCAGCAGCAACAGAACUGGCUACAGCCUUGUUGAAAGCAACAGUAAUAGAAAGAGCAGGAAGAGGAUUCACAGAAGAAUCAUGGUGCAUGGAAAGGAAAAUUAAAAGGCAGGAUAGAGUCUUGUUCCCCAAAAGAGAUAUGAAUGCUCUCCUGCAUUUCAUGCUCACCAUUAAAAUGAGGGGCAUUUGGAUUUGACAGAAACCAUCUGGAUUUCAGGCUGUCUGUCAUGUGUCUGGGACUACUAACAGUCUGUUUACAGCAUGCCAUUCAGGGAAAAAUAAGGCCAGGCUCACUGAAAGGAAUGGUAUGUUCCUGGCAUGGAAUAGAAGGUAAUGUACAAAGCAAUUGGUACUGUUCUUCAUAUCUCUGCAUCCAUCUCAUUCAUGCAAUGAAAGUUAGGUAUGUAGGUUUGAUGUUUUGGCUAAUUAAUUUGCUGCUUUUUCUUAUUUGAAGUUUCAACUGUCAUAGUAUUCAUGCAGCUGUAACUUUGCUUUCAGGUUCCAAUAGAGUCAGUACUUCAGUUAUCCAUUUCUGAUCUCAUAGAUCCAAGAGACAUAGUGUACAAAAGCUGAAACUCCAAAGAAAGGGUCUAAUAAUCUCAGCUCUGCAGUGUACUGUAAGGAAAAAACAUUUAAACAUACAUACCCUUAAGCUGAGACUGCUAGGAAGCAGUCUAAUUUUGAUGUGUAUUGUUGAGUGAAAUAUUUGUGAGUAACUUAGAAAAGUGGAAGAAGUUAUACAACAUCAAGAGACAAAGCAGCCCUUCUUGGCACUUCCACUGUGUCAUAAGCUGCUAGUACCAGCUGCUAAAAUGCAGAUAUUUAUGAGAAAUUUCCAAUAUUGGUCUAUAUAAAGCAGAAAAAACCCCAACAAAACACCAAAAAAUCAAACCAUACCAACCAACCUACCAAAUAGCGAACCAACCAAAAAAACACAAAAAAAUGUUAUUGAUGCUGUCACUGCAGAGAUGUUGCUAACACUAAUUUAAAAAAAAAAAGGGCUGUCCCUUCUUAUCAUAAAAUUUAGGUAAGUUUUUGGACACUGCUCCUGCUUUCAAUACCGAUUUGUGGGUCUAAUUUAUGAUCAGAUCAAAUAGGAGCCAUUGAAAGAACUGAUAAAACAAACAUACUGAAACAAUAGAUCCCUGUGUUAGAGAUAUCUAGGUGGAGAUUGACACUUCAGUAAUAAAGGAAAAGAAAAUGAGCCUCUAUCUCCAAGUAAGAGAGAAAACCCAAAAAACUCUGAAGCAGAUGAAGUCCUGGCUGCUUGAACUGGGCAAGCACUUAGCACAGGGGUGCAGUUCACCUCUCUGGCUAUAGCUGCUGGCUGCACAGAGGGCUGUCUUUCACCUGGUGCUCAUAGCCAGGAGAAGAUCACUUGCAGGGUGCCCACCAGCACCUCAUUUGAUGUGAGAUGAAACGAGCCCCUUUAAAAUGAGGAUCAGCUAAUGCUACUGUACAGAUACAGAACAUCUGCUGUACCAAGAGAUGGAGUCCCUUAAAUCCAGCUGCAGCCAAAAUGCUUCUCCUUGACUGCCAUUUACUGCUGUGCUUCCUUGUGCAUCACAUCAUUCGCCAAGUCUGCAAACUGCUGACACUACCACAUGGCAUUAACCUGACUGUGCAGAAGCUGUGGAGGGUUUAUGAUGCUAGAUCAAUACAAUUUUUUUUUGCCUAUUUAAAAAAUCAUAUUAAAGUUAUUAUUUCUUCUCCAUUGCCUUAGUCGCAAAUCCACAUUUUCAUCAAACCCUACUCAGUAGUCUAUUUGAGCACGUGCUAACACUGGAUAGCAAUACAUUAAAGCAACAGACAUUAAUUUUAAGAGUCUCAGUGUGCCUGGAUUACUAAAGUCCUCCUGCCAUGGAGUUUGGUCAUGAGCAUCCACAUGACACAUAUCCACUGUCCCCCACCCACCACAGACCACCCAUCACUCCUUAGCACCCUGCAACAGCAAUAAGACUGCAGUGCAAGAGUCCAAAAAACCUACAGUGUGUUCCAGCAGCAUCUUGGGAGAGACCAAGGAUGCUGGCAGUGUUUCCAUUCUCCAGAAAAAACAGGGAUUUGCUAUAUGAAACGUCCAGAUAGCAUCAGAAAUAGGUGUAAAAAAUCUCACGUUAUACGGGAAAACAGAAGAAACCAAGCCAAAGUCAACAGAUGCAGAUGGUUGGAACCUGAGGGAAAAACCUCCUUCCUUAUCUACUUUUGGUGAUGGAUGUUGCUUUGAGGAUGUCUGACAAACAAAGAAAUUAAACACAUAGAGCUGGUGUAAAUAUGCAUAACUGCUUUCAAACAUUUCCAAGCAGUGUAUGCAUUUGCGUGAUCUCAGCAUGGGCAGCCUUGGCAGAGAGUAGAAGAAGAACAGAAGAUGAUCAAAAAGGGGUUUACAAGAGAGGCAAGGCAGUCAGUUCCUAGAGACAUUAAAAAAUUGGAAGAAUGAAGUGUUUAGGAAACAGCAAUUUUGGGGGAAAUGCCUCAUGGGACUGUGGGUCCAAAAGGAAGGGGAUUCUUGUAGAAGUGUGAGAGGAAGGAGGAAGAGAAAGUUUCUUAAUGUGAAGAGAUGGGGAUGGAGAUGAAAGGAUUGAGGGAGCACAGGGGGUUCAGCAGUAGCAAUUACAAAGAAAGAUGGGAGGCAGAUAAUAAGGGAAGUGUCAGAACUGGUGAUAGACACUCUGGAUAAGGAAAAAAUAUGGAAAAAUAAAUCAAAAUAAUAAAAAAGCUAGUUAGGUCACUGGGGCAGUGGCAGGCAACAUUUUUCGGAGUGUUUUGAAGUGGCGCGUUAGCAGGCUCUUUUCCAGAGGCUUCCUCUGUAGAAAGUGCAAAGAGACGGGCUCCUCCAGGGAGCAUAUCAAAGCAAGAGUUUCUUUCUGAAAAACCUGUCUCCUUCAGCAGGGAGCCAAGCUGCAUAACCGAAGUAUCCUACAUGGUACACCUAAAGCAAACACAUAUCAAAAUAACAUCAACUAGAACAUGUAAUCUGAGCUAGUUUGGAUAGCAGGUAGUGGAAAAAAGAGGGGAAACAACAGAAACAAAAUACAGAAGUUCAGAAAAAUUGACUCAGAAAAAAAAUCGAUUUUUUGUUCAUCAUUCUGGUGAACAUUUGACAGCCUUUUCUCAUACAUUAACUGCAAGUAAGCAAACUGGUUGAAUUGUAAUUUUGUUGAUGCAGAAUUGAACACUUUAAAUAAACAAAAGAUCCCAAAGCCAUGGGAAUAAAGUUCAAACAUGUAACUUAUUUAUCCAUUUGAGUUAAAGAAGUAAAAUCUGUACCACAAUUUUAUUCCCAUACUAAUUGUUCUUGUGAGCAAGUAUUUAUGUAUGCUACAUCUCACUGCAGGGACAGUCCAUAAAUACAUUUUGAAAUUUGUUCUUUUAGAUGAAAGAGGAGAAUUCUCCAGCAAAUGCAUUAUAGACUCCUAAUCAUUCAGAUUUAAAUGCUCAGUAGUCAAGGCUAACUUAAGUACUUCCUUCAAUCCUGGAGCACUCACUAUUGAUUUUAAAAGGUGUGUUGGUAUUAGUGGGUUACACAAUAUAAAGUUCCCUUCUCAAGACCAUUAAGUACUCACAUUUAAAUUAUUUUCCUUACAAACCGCAUUCAUUUGAAUUUCAGUGGAAUGUGAACACAGAAAAAAACAAACAACUUUGAGAGUGUCAUUCAAAAUGCCAACAUAAACCAUGACUUUUAUGACUCUUUGGCACUUUUCUCCUUGUUGAUCUCUUUCUUUGCAAGUCACUUUCUGUCCUUGUGUCCCAGACAUGCUAAGCAUGAGAGGACAAACACUUCAAGCAAACGUUGUUACCAUGAAAGACUUCCUAAUGAUUAGGGUCUGAAGCAAAGACCUUUCCCAAUUCUACACCUCUUCAAAUAUAGGAUUUGGAUAGGAUGAGGAUUGGAAAUAUGACAGACAUGGAAUUAGAGAACCAUGCGUCUUGAAGUAUUUAACUUGUUAUGUUUAUGGUGUUUUUUUAAGACAUAAGACACUUGCAAAUAUCAUUGCAUCCUUGUUAUUGUCCACAAACAGAACACAGAACACACUCUGUGCAAGAGGCGCUUCUGUAAAAUUACUACUAGAAGAAAGAAAAGGAUACUUGGAAAUGUACCCUAGUGAUAUUACUACAAAUAAAGAGUUCACAAUUAUGGGACAUCUCUGUAAAAGAAAAUCUCUGUGCUCAAAAUACAUGUGCCAGGCGACUAUUUCUGAGAAACUCAUCCAAAUUUCACAAGGAAUAUUGAUGAUGAUAUGAUGCUUUUCUGAAUCCCCUUUCAGGGUAAUUCUGUCAUGUCCAAACAGAAUUAACAGAAAAAGGGCUGACAAAAAAGUAACUGAAAAGAAAGCUAAGAAAAUCACUAAACAAGACUGUGGGAGAUUAAGACAUCUGCCCUGGUUUUGGCUGGGAUAGUUAAUUUUAUUUUAGUAGCUGGUAGAGUGCUGCAUUUUGAAUGUAGUAUAAAAGGAGUGUUGAUAACACACUGAUGUUUUUAUUGUUGCUAAGUUGUGCUUACCAUAAGCUAAGACAGUUUCCCAUGCUCUGCCAAUGAGCAGGUGCACAAGAAACUGGGAGGGAGUAUGUCCAGGACAGCUGAUGUGAACUAGCCAAAUGGAUGAUGUUCUGUUCCAUACCAGAACAUCAUCCCCAGUAUGUAAACUGAGUUGGCCAGGAGAUGCGAAUUGCUGCUCGGGUGUGGGCUGGCCAUCAGUCAGUGGGUGGUGAGCAAUUGUAUUGUGCAUUGCUAGUUUCUUUUGGGUUCCUGUCACCCCCUUUAAUUAAAAUUAUUAAUAUUGUCAUCAUUAUAAAUAUUAUUAUUAGAUUUUAUUUUGUUUCACUUAAUUACUGCUCUUAUCUCAAGCCACGAGUUUUACUUUUCUUUUUUUUCCAUCUCUCCUCCUCUGCAAGGUGGGGGGCAGGUGGUGAUUGAGCAGCUGCGUGGUGCUUAGCUGCUGCCUGGGAUUAAACCACACCAGGAGCAUUAAACCAGGAGAAGCAAAGCCAAUGGUGGUGGUAGUAAGGUAACUAGCUAUACUAUGCCCAGCAAUUCAAAACAGCAGUGUGUGGAAAAGCACAGCACGUAGAGGAGAUUAGGGUGUAUUCAAACACCCUAAUUGAUAUUCAGAAAUAUGAAACACCAUCAGCAAUGAGCUUCCUUUACACCAAAAUGCAACAGGCUUUUCAAGGUGACAAGUGAUGCUGUAUAGGAAGCAGUUGCUGCCGUGAAAAUCUUCCAAAAGUAAAAGAAGUGCAUUUUUACUUGAAGUACUGCAUUGUGAGAAAAAUCAGACAGUCUAAUUAGGAGUAAAUGAUUAAUUUUGAUAUGUUAUUCCUAACACUAAGUGUGACAUAAAGGAAAUUUAACUGGUAGCUCCAUGAACAGAGGAGUAAAUUGAAUGUAGGUCCUCAUAUCACUGUGUCUUAGUGUUGGUUGGCUUGUGAACUUAAGAAGAUAAGAAACUUUGCCUGCAGUGCUGUGUUUUUAAGGUCUUUCAAAUGGUUUCACCAUUCCCCUAAUAGAGGUUCAGCUCCUGCAGCAGUGUUCCUUUCAACAGGAACACUUGUGGGAUCCUGCAUUUUUUCGCAUCUACUUCAAUGCAACUGGUAACUCCUUAAUCUUUCUGAGGCCCCAAUCUCUCUAGAUUUGAUGAUGGUGUACUGUGGUCAUUGCAUGAAGUGCAAACACCUUCCACAUGCAUACAUGUACGUAUACAUAUAUACAGGGCAUCAUUCCACAUCCCAGAUUUCCUAACAAAUAAUCAAUUUUUGCAGAUUUUGUUUUGAAAUUAUUUUGUUUGUUUGUUUUUACCAACAGUCAGCCGUUUUCUGGCAAGGCUUCCAAACAGAUCCCUGUGUAAGCAGCAGAGAACAAUGGCCAGUCCUGGCACUACACAGGUCAAUAAAAUUGACCAUGAACGGUUCUUGAUCUGCAAACUCAGCUCAGCUGGUGUUGGUACAGCCAAACCCCACAUAGUCUGAAACGAAGCAAAAAUUUCUGGAAGUUGGAGAGCUCCCAGGCUGCCAAAGCAAAAUGUAAAGGAUCUUGCAUCACCACUGAACAAUGGUCACCAGGCCUCCAGUGCUCCCCUCCCUCACUUACAGUUGUUUUUGCCCAUGUCCACAUUUGCCUACAAGCAGGAUAAUCCCUCAAAGUCUAUUUUCACAACUUAGGCAGCAUCUCUCCAAGUUCAGGGCUCAAUAUAUUUGUCUCAUCCACAUGAGAAAACACAUCCUACUGAUCUCCCAAUGCAGUGGCCUAUCCACAUGAAAAAUGACAUGAAGGGAAUGUCCUUCCCUACAGACUUCGAGUAAUACCUCACAGAGCUGUCCCAUAGUGUAAAUGAGCCCAAUACAAUCACAAGGAAGGAACCAUUUGGAGCCCGUAGGCAGUCUGGGGUUUGUUUGGUCAGAUCCAUGGCCUUUUUAAUUAGAGGGUGCUGGAGAGAUGUGAAUCUUACCCCUCUUGCUAUUAAACACUGAAUCCCACUGAUGUCAGUAGAUCUUACAAAAACAGAGUCACAGCCACAGUGAGAUGAGACACUACAUAAGGCCCAGUGGAGAUGGGGCAAAAGUGUUACAAGAAGAUAAUGAAAGACACUCUCUGAGUUUGGAAGCCAUUUACAUAUCUAUUGUAGCAAUGAGAAAAAGCAAAUACUUGCAGUUCUAUCUCUGUUAUACAGCACAAAGCAAUAGAGCUAAUUUGGUUCCCUGUGUGAAAAAUCCAGAAAAACAUUUACUCCUGUUCUCCAGGUUCACUUGCUGUGAUUUAGAAUAUGGCCAUCAUGCAGAUUUGCUGCUCGUUCCAAAAAUGGAAAUAUCCACAUGGGAGUAGCCAGCCUUUCAUGCCAUAUUGAUCAUGAUGACAUUUGAAAGACAAUUUGCUUAACACUAUUGGUAAAAGGACCAAGGAUGCCACGUGAAACCAGAGUGAUGUGCAUUUCCUCAUAGCUGCUUGUGUUUCAGUUAAGAAACAUGAUCUGUUUUCCAGUACAUGUUAUCACUUGCUGUGUUUACAUUAUGUCAAAAAUUAUAAAGAAGCCGAAUCAAAAUUGUAUUAAUCCUGUAUAAUUAAUACUUUAAAUGCAUGUUAUUGUUUGAAUGGUUUGAGCAACAUAAUUCCUGAAGAAGUGCAAACAAAGGACACUGAGCAUGAAGCUCUGAGCAGCACUGGUCUGAAGCUGUGGUCUUGGGCCAGAGCCUGUUUAUAUCCUUCCCGAGAAAAAGGGGUCAUUCUUUUUGACAGCAAAUACCUUUUUUUGGACAACACCAGUUCAUUGCACUGUGGGGAUGUGCUGGUUUUGAUUGAAGCUUGGCUUGGAAGGUUUGUCAUCUUUCACACUGUCAGAAGUUGAUUUGGGGCAACCACUUCAGAUGAUCAAUAAAGCAAUAGCCUAA